GUGCGGUAGUGCAAUUUCAUGGCUCACUGCAACCUCCACCUCCCAGGUUCAAGCGAUCCUCCCAUCUCAGCCUCCCUAGUAGCUGGGAUUACAGGUGCACGCCACCACACCAGGCUAAUUUUUGUAUUUUUAGUAGAGAUGGGGUUUCACCAGGUUAGCCAGGCUGGUCUUGAACUCCAGACCUCAAGGGAUCCGCCUGCCUCAGCUUUCCAAAGUGCUGGGAUUACAGGUGGAGACUGGACCUCAGAAGAGGGAGUGGGUGCCCCGAGAACUCACAGCUAGCGGACAGUGGAAAGGGCAGGAGCCGGACCAAGGCUCCGGCAUGACGGGUGACUUCUUCCGAGUCUGGCUUCUGCAGCACACAGGGCUUCGCCAGCACCCAGCUCCUGCAGCAUGGGCAGCUCCUGUGACAGCAGGCGCCCGCAGCCUGCAAAGCGUCUCCAGUGCCGCCGCCUCAGUGAACCUCAACCAGCGGCACCUAGCAGCUUUCUCUGCCACCCUCUUCAGGUAGUUCUGUAGCAGCGCGUUUCUCAUGAGACACUUCCCUGUGAGCAGCUUUUUCUACCCUUGAGGAUGGAUUUCCAGCAAAUUCUGCCCAUGUGGUACCACAGCCACUUCUCUGCCAUUCAGUGAAACUGCCGUUGUGCCCUCUUCAAGGUCUGGAUCUAAGCCCAGGGACCAGGAAACCUCUUGCUUGAGUGCUGGAACUCAGGCCAGAAGGUAUGGCUGCUGCUAUGUGCUGUGACCAGAGAAUCAGAGUUCUCUUUACUUCUUACCAGCCAACCUCUUGAAAAUGCCUUUUUGUUUUUUGUUUUUUUUUGAGACGGAGUCUCGCUCUGUUGCCCAGGCAGUGCAGUGGCUCACUGCAACCUCCGCCUCCUGAGUUCAAGUGAUUCUCCUGC
rnacentral:lncRNA from 1 species